UACGUAGGGGGCAAGCGUUGUCCGGAUUUAUUGGGCGUAAAGAGCGUGUAGGCGGCUUUGCAAGUCCGUUGUGAAAACUCGAGGCUCAACCUCGAGACGCCGGUGGAAACUGCAAAGCUAGAGUCCGGAAGAGGAGAGUGGAAUUCCUGGUGUAGCGGUGAAAUGCGUAGAUAUCAGGAGGAACACCGGUGGCGAAGGCGGCUACCUGGACAGAAACUGACGCUGAGGCGCGAAAGCUAGGGGAGCAAACAGG
rnacentral:rRNA from 1 species